GGAAAGCUGGUACCCAUGGAGUCCAUAAUCAGUCGCCAGCUAGAGCAAAAGGAACCUAAUAAGCCAAGGCAGAACAUCAAACAAAAAUUCACUCCCUUGAAAUUAGCAUUUAAUACUAACCACACUCAUGUAAAUAAUAAAGUAUUACCACAGAAAAGAUCGUAUCCUGAUCAUGCCAAUGGUGAUGAUCUUGAGUAAUACCUCACGUGUUUUCAUCUAGGUUUGAUGGAUUUACCCUCCUAUUUUGGAAAUUAAUGGCGUCAUAUUAUUGUUAGCUGAAUCUGGCCGAACUUAACAACGUUUAAUUUUUAAAAUGCCACAUUUAAUCUUAUAAAAAAAAGAGACCAAUCUCUGUUUUGCUUUCAUAAAUGAUUUAGAGCAUGCUUGGGUAGAUGUUUAGCUUCUGUUGCACUUUUCGAGAUAAAAUGAAUGUGAUUUUCACAUUUUUCAAUAAAAAAAGAUGAAAUGAACUCUUGGGUUCCAUUAGAAAGGAAGUGUUUUUAGUUUAAUGUUUAGCAGGGGGGAGAAAAGGGGGUGGCCCCCAGCCACUGUAAACUAAUGCAGUGUGGAAACAGCGGAUGCCAAUAAGUUGGGAUAUAAUAGAAAAGUUGAAUAUUUUUAACCAACAGGAUUUUAAUAACUGAAGUUGUGAUAUAGAACUCUGGCCAGGGGAAGUUUAACUUCGAUAAAUAAAUUCACAAAAAGUCAAGUUCAGAAUUUGUAACUAUUCUCUCAAAAUGUCAUCUUUUUCUUUUGUGAUUUUCUAAAUUUGUAUAGUAGUAAGUGUAACAGUACAAGUGAUCCUGAAUGUAUAGCUAUUGUCUAUCAUAAGAUGAAUUUGUUAUCUACGCUUAAUUCUCUGUCUAAUGUCUGUUUAUUAUAUUUCUUUAGGUCAGAGAUUCAUGAAAAGAUGCGAUGCAGUCGGUGCCGAAUAAUUGAUGAGCCGCAAAGCUCUGACGUCCUAUCAACAAUAGUUAAUAGUGAAUCUGAUGAAGAAACCUCUGAUAUAGGUGGAUUUGCAGAAAUUGCAGGCUGUUUAGAGAAUUUAAAAGGAUCAGAGAAGCAGGUUGCAUUUGAAUAUUGUUGGAUAUAAAGUUUAUGCAUGCUACAUAGCUUUUGCAAAAAUUAUAGUUAAACUUCCCCAACCCCAAACUCAAUAUGCGUCCAAAACCUUCCACUCUUCACUCCUGCUCAUCUAUUACUUACAAGCUUUAAUGUCUACAUUACCUCUUCGAUUCAAGAGAAUAUACAAAUUUAUUAGUUCUAGCAUUGACUCUAUGGUACAUUUCCUCUCUGCAGAUUGGGACCCCACUGGAAGAAGAUUUAAGUAGUUGGGGCCAUCAUUUUUCCCCAACUUCUGUACCAGAUCCUAUCCUUCAGGCUUCAGCUGGUGAUGAGGUGUGCCAUAGCUUUUUUACAAAUAAAUCCUAUUUUACGCAUAGUUUGCAAAAUAUAUAUUGUGCUCCAUAGGUUCAUAGUUCAUACUGCUGGCAUUUUUGCCAUUCUUGUCCUAAGAAAGACACGUAAAGCCUAGAGUGCACAAGUUAUAAUCUGGUCCAUAUGGACCAGAGGGUAACUUUGUCUUUUCUCCUUUCCUUUACCCUUUUCAUCUCCCCUUUACCCUUUACGUCUUCCCUUUACCUUUCCCUUAGCAAAUUCCAGCAAAGGCUUCAUCUUGCCACAAUCAAAAAGCUCCACCGGUGAACGGGAAUUGAUGAAGUGCCAACAGUGAAGCUGUUUCUCGUUGGUAUCAAGAAUAAUAAAAGCCAAGAGGGAACAGCCAUUGUAGAUAGUAGUGUUGCUUUGAAGAAAAAGCUAUGCGCUAAACUUUUACUUUGCAUCCCAUUCUACUGAUGAUUCUGGGUUCUUAUAUGUUUACUACGAGCACCCCAAUCCACCUUCAAUCCCACAACAUCCCCCACCUUUUCAACCUUACCACCAAAAUUUCACCUAUUAUGUUGCAGAACCAUAGUACCCAGAAUCAAACCAUACCACCAUACCCAUCAAAACUCGUCAAAUUCUUCACCAUACCCACACAUCAACCAAUUCAGCAUUUUUGAAUGAGGGAAGUAAUAGUAAUCGCAGGAGAAAAAUAAGAAGCAAACAACAUUUUGUCAAUGGAAGAAGAAGAAUAAAGACAAACCCACUGGUUAUGGAGGUUGGUGGUUCAAACUCGAAUGGGGAUUUGCUGGAAAGGGAGAGGGAGGGGGAGAAUGAUUUGACACUUACAUUUUUACCCUUUUAGUUUUUAGUAAAUCCUAUCCGUUGAUCUAAAGAAUAUUCUAAGAUUCUCUAAUUUAAUGGUGUUUAGGGAUGGUGCAUCGGUGGACCAAAAUAUAAAUGGUUCACCUUAGUGGGCACCCGUAAAGCUUAAUGAAGUUUGAAGUAUGUGUGAUAUAUUAAGUGUGAACUUAACGUAAAUCCAGAUUGAGUCAACAUGACAAAGUCUUGCUUAGUUGCUUUCUCUGUGUGCAUGUUGGGAUGUGUGUUUGACUAUUUAUUAGAGCAUCUUUAUCCAUUCACAUUCACUAAAGUUUUUAUACUUUAUUUUAUAUCAUUCUUUACAAUUCCCUAUAGUGUCACAUCAUCUAAACCACUUUACUGACAUUUUACUCCAACCCAACAACUCUAAAAAAAACUUUAAUGAACCCCACGAUCAACAUUAUACUCGAUACUUUUUAACUUUAACAAUAUCAUAAUAUUAUGUUUUUUUGUCCUUUGUGCAUCAAUUUCUGAGACACUACUCCGAGAGUGUCUAUAGUACCACACCCAAAUUAGCUAAGAUGGAAGAACCGUUUAUUUCCAAUGGUAUGAGACACUAGUUGGAGAACCUCUUUGGUUUGAGACACUCCCAUUUGAGAUGCUCUUAUGUAGAUACAAACAGAAAACCGAACACACUUAAACCAAUGGUGGUCUUACAUCUAGAGAUGUGAGACUUUUGCAUGCCGUUGGACUUCAUGUAUGCCUUGUUUCUUGCUCAAAAUGUUGGAAGUUUUCCUUAUACUGGUACAUGUUCUAAUUCCAAGCAAUGGGAUGUUUUUUCCCGACAAGAUUAUUGCACACCAGUAUGAAAUGUUUUUUAUGUAACAGUAUGAAAUGUUAAUACCAGCAGAAUAUGGCAUUUAUUUACCCCGCAGUUAGCUUUGCUUGAGAAGUUAAACAUGUAAAAACCUAAAUACCCAUUAAGCCCAUGGUAAUGCAUGCAACACUUGAAGGAGCAGAAUUGAUAUGCUUCUCUGUGCUUUUCAGGUGACUUUUGUGUUUACAAACCAAGUUAACGGAAAGCUGGUACCCAUGGAGUCCAUAAUCAGUCGCCAGCUAGAGCAAAAGGAACCUAAUAAGCCAAGGCAGAACAUCAAACAAAAAUUCACUCCCUUGAAAUUAGCAUUUAAUACUAACCACACUCAUGUAAAUAAUAAAGUAUUACCACAGAAAAGAUCGUAUCCUGAUCAUGCCAAUGGUGAUGAUCUUGAGUAAUACCUCACGUGUUUUCAUCUAGGUUUGAUGGAUUUACCCUCCUAUUUUGGAAAUUAAUGGCGUCAUAUUAUUGUUAGCUGAAUCUGGCCG
rnacentral:lncRNA from 1 species